AAAGUCCAAAUAAAGUCGUAGCACUCGGGCUUGGACUGGGUACCAACUCUAGUACUGCAUUUAGUCCCCGGUACCCAAGUUUGACGUUUGGCUGACUACCUUAAUUCUAUAUACUUUGCGUCGUAGUAGCCGACGAUAAAGUAGUAGCUUACGAAAACAUGUCAAGCUUCAAUUUCAAAGUUCAAAAGGAAAACCGAAACGACUUGUCUCACCAGACUGCCGCAGCUCAAGCAGCAGUUUUCAAAGCAUACAUGGCACUUUGUAAGAGCGAAACGCAACCCGACCGUGGCCGACUUGAACAAGGAUACUUGAGUACUUGGUAGAAGAGGGCAAGAAUCAAGUCUGAGUUCAAAAUAAACUUUUAUAAAUUUUA